GACGAACGCUGGCGGCGUGCUUAACACAUGCAAGUCGAACGGGAUUUAGUAGACAGAAGCCUCGGCUAAAGAUUACUAAUGAGAGUGGCGAACGGGUGAGUAACGCGUGAGCAACCUGCCUAUGACAGUGGGAUAGCCUCGGGAAACCGGGAUUAAUACCGCAUAAAAUCGUAGAAACACAUGUUUCAACGGUCAAAGAUUUAUCGGUCAUAGAUGGGCUCGCGUCUGAUUAGCUAGUUGGUGAGAUAACAGCCCACCAAGGCGACGAUCAGUAGCCGGUCUGGGAGGAUGAACGGCCACAUUGGAACUGAGACACGGUCCAAACUCCUACGGGAGGCAGCAGUGGGGAAUAUUGCACAAUGGGGGAAACCCUGAUGCAGCGACGCCGCGUGAACGAAGAAGGUAUUCGUAUCGUAAAGUUCUGUCCUAUGGGAAGAUAAUGACAGUACCAUAGAAGAAAGCUCCGGCUAAAUACGUG
rnacentral:rRNA from 1 species